GACGAACGCUGGCGGCGUGCUUAACACAUGCAAGUCGAACGGAAAGGCCCUGCUUUUGUGGGGUGCUCGAGUGGCGAACGGGUGAGUAACACGUGAGUAACCUGCCCUUGACUUUGGGAUAACUUCAGGAAACUGGGGCUAAUACCGGAUAGGGGCUCCUGCGGCAUGGGGGGGGUGGGAAAGUUUCGGCGGUUGGGGAUGGACUCGCGGCUUAUCAGCUUGUUGGUGGGGUAGUGGCUUACCAAGGCUUUGACGGGUAGCCGGCCUGAGAGGGUGACCGGCCACAUUGGGACUGAGAUACGGCCCAGACUCCUACGGGAGGCAGCAGUGGGGAAUAUUGCACAAUGGGCGGAAGCCUGAUGCAGCAACGCCGCGUGCGGGAUGACGGCCUUCGGGUUGUAAACCGCUUUCGCCUGUGACGAAGCGUGAGUGACGGUAAUGGGUAAAGAAGCACCGGCUAACUACGUG
rnacentral:rRNA from 1 species